AACCAAGACCAUUACAGGAGAUGAUACAGACUUUCUCUGAUGAACACACAGAGGCGGAAUACCAGGCACCCUACACUUAAACAUGCAAAGAAAACCUGUCCUGCCUGUUGCCAGGCACUUAAAACAUAAGUGCUGUGGUAAUUAGGAGGGUUUAUUUUUGAAGCAGAAAAACAAAUGACCCUUUUUAUUUUGGACUAAAAUUUGGGGUCCAAGAUGAAAAAAAAGUGAGGCUUAUUUUGACCAGUGCUUCUCAUUGUAUGAACAAUGAGAAAUUUGAUUGGAUGAAGAUAUUAAACUCCAGUAUAGCUUAAGUUAUAAGUGUGAUGGCCUCAGAUGUUUUGAAUACAGUUGGGAAAACUGAAAUACAUAUGCUAAACAAAUGAAGUUAAAAAUAGGCUCGAGCGGCUUUCUAAGGAGGGUGGGCUAAGACAUGAGGAAGAUUCAAAUUUCUGCAAAUGUAAUUACACAGUUCUGCAGCGGACUAACUGAACACUCCUGGGAAUGGGCUCUCAAAACCCUUCCUCUGCUUGGCACAUCCCCAAAAGAGCUGGGAGACUCGUUUCAGUGCUGCUUAGCUCAUUUGCACUCGAGAAAUGUGAAGAAGUCCAGUUACAUCAAGCCACCUGGAGGGAAAGAAAUGUCCUCUGCUAUAUCCUUCCUCCAAUAGGCUGUCUUGUUUUAUUUGAAAGGUCCCCAGGGAGAGCACUCUCCCAACUCCUUUUGGAAGUCUAUUCUGCAAUCUAAUAGAUCUUAUUGUCAAAUGCUUUGUUAAACUUUCACUGGAAUGUGUGUGUCGCACUCAGCAUUGGUGAAUCUUGCAAUUCCAUCAGGGAGCCACAAUCAAAUUGGUCUCCCAUGACUUGUUCUCUGGUUGAUGUGAAAUAGCUUCCUUUUGGCCUCUGGUCUUUUCCAGGGAGCUGAGCCCCUUCCCUGCUAUCCCAGAAGUCCCUCAUUCCCCAGCGGCACCUCACUCAUCCCAGUGAGGCUAUGUCUGGGACCAGGGUGGCGGGCUGGGGUUCAGUGCGGAAAACUUGUACCACAUGCAUUUCUGUGUUCAGAGAUAGCCCAGGCCUGAUGCUUUGCUGUAGCAAUUCCGCAUUUGCCAUCGCUCAGCUUUCACACGGUGGUUCAGGUCACGUUUUCCUCCGCAGACGACUUUGCAACUGGAUUAUUUUAAAUAACUUACCCUGCAUCCUCGCUUGUAUCUGAAAUGCAAAAGUUUUUAUUUGAAAAUGAAUCGCUACUCCUUGUGGCCCUCCCAGAGAUGUUGGCAACUUCCCCAGACUCCCUUUCCUCUGGUAGCUCAGAUGGCCUUUGACUAAUGAGGUGACCUUAAGAGAAGUACUUGCUGAAUGUUCCUUGUGGCUGGCCACGGUGGUGACAAGCGUGAAUUGCACAUAGAGCAAAUGGUCUCAAGCAGUCACUGCUGAUGUUACUGGCUUGCUAGUAUGCUGGUCCUGCCAGGCUCAGAACCCA
rnacentral:lncRNA from 1 species